AUGAGCAAGAUGCAUAUAAAUGGGAGGCUGUACAUAAAUGACAUGGCCCGAGGCACCUGUGACGCGGACCUCCGCAACCACUUCAGUCGCUACGGGGAUGUGGCUGACAUCUUCAUUCCCACGUACCGCCUCACUGGCCAGCCCCGCUGCUGCGCCUUUGUCCAGUUCUCUAACCCCGGUGACACCUGCCGCGUCCUUGCCAACCCACGCCAUGUCAUCAACGGACGGGAGGUACCUAUGUCAACCUCGUUCGCAAUUUCUAAUUUUCAUGCAUAUUGA
rnacentral:rRNA from 1 species